GACGAACGCUGGCGGCGUGCUUAACACAUGCAAGUCGAACGAAAAGAGGGAAAGAGCUUGCUCUUUCCGGAAUUGAGUGGCAAACGGGUGAGUAACACGUAAACAACCUGCCUUCAGGAUGGGGACAACAGACGGAAACGACUGCUAAUACCGAAUAAGUUCCAAGAGCCGCAUGGCCCAUGGAAGAAAAGGUGGCCCCUACCUGUAAGCUAUCGCCUGAAGAGGGGUUUGCGUCUGAUUAGCUGGUUGGGGGGGUAACGGCCCACCAAGGCGACGAUCAGUAGACGGUCUGAGAGGAUGAACGGCCACACUGGAACUGAGACACGGUCCAGACUCCUACGGGAGGCAGCAGUGGGGAAUCUUCCGCAAUGGGCGAAAGCCUGACGGAGCAACGCCGCGUGAGUGAUGACGGCCUUCGGGUUGUAAAACUCUGUGAUCCGGGACGAAAAGGCAGAGUGCGAAGAACAAACUGCAUUGACGGUACCGGAAAAGCAAGCCACGGUUAACUACGUG
rnacentral:rRNA from 1 species